rnacentral:rRNA from 1 species
GUAGGGAAUAUUGGGCAAUGGAUGCAAGUCUGACCCAGCCAUCCCGCGUGCCGGAAGAAGGCCCUCAGGGUUGUAAACGGCUUUUGACGGUGAAGAAUCGACAGGAUGCGUCCUGUUUUGACGGUAGCCGUUGAAUAAGCACCGGCUAACUCCGUGCCAGCAGCCGCGGUAAUACGGAGGGUGCGAGCGUUGUCCGGAUUUAUUGGGUUUAAAGGGUGCGUAGGCUGGAAGGUUAGUCAGCGGUGAAAAGCUGUCGCUUAACGAUAGUCUUGCCGCAGAUACUUCCUUUCUUGGAUGAGGAGGAGGCCACUGGAACGGAUGGUGUAGCGGUGAAAUGCAUAGAUAUCAUCCAGAACACCGAUUGCGAAGGCAGGUGGCUGUACCUUAAUCGACGCUGAUGCACGAAAGCAUGGGGAGCAAACAGGAUUAGAAACCCGGGUAGUCC